UGGGGGCCUCCUCCCGCCUCUGCGUCCGGCUGUCCGUUCGUCUGUCCGAGGCCCUGGCGCAGCCUUUAGCUUACGAUUCGUCAACGCGUAAAACGCGAUCGCCGUGAGGCCCCCCGCCUGUUUCGUGGCCUCGGAGCCCAGCAGGAGCUUCUCAAAGACCACACGGCCUCGGGGACAAUCCCCCGUGUUCGGCCAGGCUGCCCCACAGGAGCUCAAACCCCAGGACCGAGCGCCGGAGGCCCCCGACCCUCAGGCCGACCGCGAGGCGGUGAACGCCGGAGCCGAGCGGAAGCUUACCGCGGGGCCUCGAUCGGAGCCUCGGCUCGCAGGGAGGUGGUCGUUCCGAGCCCUCAGGAAAGCAGGUUCACUUCCAGGCCCCCAAAUCUGAAGUCUCCCUCUCCUCCCGCCUCCAUGCUAAUUCUCCCACCACAACCGUUUUACGGGCCUCUUUGAAUUGUAAAGACCAGGGUCCAACGUCCUACUCGUGUCCGCACCCUGGGUGGAGACUCCUCGGAGACACGGUAUCUCCUUACGAGGGAGGUUCUAACCGCCACCUCCAAGCCCGACAGCAAGGGGCCCUGCGGAGACCUGCAGACAAUCGAGCCGCGUUUCUCCCUCCUCCGUGAACGCCACGGUGGGCUCGGAGGCCUGGCAGCCCCGCGGCCCGGCAGCAGGACAACUGGUAAAGCCGUUUCGUUAGACGCAAUUUGUUUGCAAUUUGUCAACCCGACUGGGAAACGCUCCCCAGACGCCUGGGCAGCCGCACUGGCCCUACCUGCUUCUCGAAUCCUGCC